rnacentral:rRNA from 1 species
GACGAACGCUGGCGGCGUGCUUAACACAUGCAAGUCGAACGGAAAGGCCCUGCUUUUGUGGGGUGCUCGAGUGGCGAACGGGUGAGUAACACGUGAGUAACCUGCCCUUGACUUUGGGAUAACUUCAGGAAACUGGGGCUAAUACUGGAUAGGAGCUCCUGCUGCAUGGUGGGGGUUGGAAAGUUUCGGCGGUUGGGGAUGGACUCGCGGCUUAUCAGCUUGUUGGUGGGGUAGUGGCUUACCAAGGCUUUGACGGGUAGCCGGCCUGAGAGGGUGACCGGCCACAUUGGGACUGAGAUACGGCCCAGACUCCUACGGGAGGCAGCAGUGGGGAAUAUUGCACAAUGGGCGGAAGCCUGAUGCAGCAACGCCGCGUGCGGGAUGACGGCCUUCGGGUUGUAAACCGCUUUCGCCUGUGACGAAGCGUGAGCGACGGUAAUGGGUAAAGAAGCACCGGCUAACUACGUG